AGCUUAUGCUCAAAUAAAUUGGUUAGUCUCUAAGGUGCCACAAGUACUCCUUUUCUUUUUGCGAAUACAGACUAACACGGCUGUGACUCUGAAAUCUAUGAACAUGUCUAACAACAUUCCCUCC